rnacentral:rRNA from 1 species
UUGACCUCGAAUCAGGUAGGAAUACCCGCUGAACUUAAGCAUAUCAAUAAGCGGAGGAAAAGAAACCAACCGGGAUUACCUCAGUAACGGCGAGUGAAGCGGUAACAGCUCAAAUUUGAAAUCUGGCUCCUUCGGAGUCCGAGUUGUAAUUUGUAGAAGAUGCUUUGGGUUGUGGGCUCGGCCUAAGUUCCUUGGAACAGGACGUCAUAGAGGGUGAGAAUCCCGUAUGUGGCCAUGGCCCGCGCCUAUGUAAAGCUCUUUCGACGAGUCGAGUUGUUUGGGAAUGCAGCUCAAAAUGGGUGGUAAAUUUCAUCUAAAGCUAAAUAUGGGCCAGAGACCGAUAGCGCACAAGUAGAGUGAUCGAAAGAUGAAAAGCACUUUGGAAAGAGAGUUAAACAGUACGUGAAAUUGUUGAAAGGGAAGCGCUUGCAACCAGACUUGGGCGCUGCCGAUCACCCCGAGUUCUCUCGGGUGCACUCGACAGCGCACAGGCCAGCAUCGGUUCGGGUGGCUGGAUAAAGGCCGUAGGAAUGUAGCUCUCUUCGGGGAGUGUUAUAGCCCACGGUGCCAUGCAGCCCAGCCGGACCGAGGACCGCGCCUUCGGGCUAGGAUGCUGGCGUAAUGGUUGUAAGCGACCCGUCUUGAAACACGGACCAAGGAGUCUAACAUCUAUGCGAGUGUUUGGGCGUUAAACCCAUACGCGGAAUGAAAGUGAACGUAGGUGAGAACCCCUUUGGGGCGCAUCAUCGACCGAUCCUGAUGUCUUCGG